rnacentral:misc_RNA from 1 species
UCUACGUAUUCAGAUGCAAAGAAUCUGGCUUGGGAUCCUUUUGUGCUUGGAAUGAAAAAGCACAAACUCUUGAGGGAAGAUAUUCUUCCUUCAAUGGCAUCAAAUAGAAAAGUUCAGCGUUUACUCAAUGAAUUCAUGGAUCUCCUGUCUGAAUAUGAAAGUGCUGAAACUAACCUCGAUAGAAAAAAUUCAAUACAGCCAACUACAUCUCAACCAGGAACUAAUCAAAUGAACCUUGACCAGUCCACAACAGAUCAAAAGAACUCCACUCCACCAGUGACGGGUCAAACAAACUCUGCCCUACAACCAACAGAUCAGAAGGGCUCUACCCCCAUCACAAUAAAUGAAACCAGCUCUACUCCACUAGCUAGUGAUCAAGUAGAUUCAGGACCAAUAUUGACGGAUCAAGUUAUUCCAGACUCACCAGCUAC